rnacentral:tRNA from 1 species
GCGAAUGUAGUUCAAUGGCAGAACAGCAGCUUCCCAAGCUGUUAAUGCGGGUUCGAUUCCCGUCAUUCGCU